rnacentral:tRNA from 1 species
UGGGGAGUCGCCAAGCGGUAAGGCACGUGGCUUUGGACCACGCAUUCGGAGGUUCGAAUCCUCCCUCCCCAG